CAAGAGAAUCAUGCAGAGUUCCGAGAGAUUCACUUCUCUCCUCAAGACCUUCCAAGUCAUAGUGAGAGGCUGGUGAUGAGAAAGCUUUAAAAGAUUCUGCAAUCGGCCCAGAGUCAGACAACUGGUGUGAUUCGAUGCCAGGUUGGUCCAUGUGAGUCUGAGGCAUAUUCUUUGCUCCAAUACCACCAAACUUCUUCGAUAUCCAGGAAGGAGAAAGAAUGGAAAGCAAACAUGAGGGUGAAUGGAAAAGACUGAAAAAACAAAGGAUAAUGAAGUGAAGGAGGCAAAGAGGGGGUAUAUUAUGAAGGCAACAACCAACCAGCCAGGGUUGAAGAAGGGAGAGAAGAUGCAAAGCAACGUUCAUGAGCCUUUUUGUAGUUCAUGCUGUCACCCAUAGGUGACAUGCUAUGGUACCACAGAAAGGUUAAAAAAAAAAAAAUGGGCCCCACCAAUCUCACCUAUUAACACAGAAAAA